rnacentral:rRNA from 1 species
GACGAACGCUGGCGGCGUGCUUAACACAUGCAAGUCGAACGGAAAGGCCCUGCUUUUGUGGGGUUCUCGAGUGGCGAACGGGUGAGUAACACGUGAGUAACCUGCCCUUGACUUUGGGAUAACUUCAGGAAACUGGGGCUAAUACCGGAUAGGAGCUCCUGCUGCAUGGUGUGGGUUGGAAAGUUUCGGCGGUUGGGGAUGGACUCGCGGCUUAUCAGCUUGUUGGUGGGGUAGUGGCUUACCAAGGCUUUGACGGGUAGCCGGCCUGAGAGGGUGACCGGCCACAUUGGGACUGAGAUACGGCCCAGACUCCUACGGGAGGCAGCAGUGGGGAAUAUUGCACAAUGGGCGGAAGCCUGAUGCAGCAACGCCGCGUGCGGGAUGACGGCCUUCGGGUUGUAAACCGCUUUCGCCUGUGACGAAGCGUGAGUGACGGUAAUGGGUAAAGAAGCACCGGCUAACUACGUG